GUUGAGGUAGACGCGAAACCGAGUGAUCUACCCACUGGGCAGGUUGAAGUCCGAUAAUAUCGGAAUGGAGGACCGAACUGGUAAACGUUGAAAGUUUCGGAUGACCUGUGGUAGGGGCGAAAGACUAAUCAAACUCGGAGAUAUCUCGUACUCCCCGAAAUGCAUUUAGGUGCAGCGUCGCCAAGAGUGUGUCGGAGGUAGAGCUACCAAUAGGGCUAGGGGGCUUCACCGCCUACCAACCCCUGAUGAACUCCGAAUGCCGACACAUUGCAACGGCAGUGAGGCGGUGGGUGCUAAGGUCCAUCGCCGAGAGGGGGAACAACCCCAGACCAUCGGCUAAGGCCCCGAAGUGAUCGCUAAGUUGAUAGAACGAUGUGGGGAUGCAUUGACAGCUAGGAUGUUGGCUUGGAAGCAGCCAUUCAUUUAAAGAGUGCGUAACAGCUCACUAGUCGAGCGUUCCUGCGCGGAAAAUAAGCGGG
rnacentral:rRNA from 1 species